rnacentral:rRNA from 1 species
UACGUAGGGCGCAAGCGUUGUCCGGAAUUAUUGGGCGUAAAGGGCGCGUAGGCGGCUCGGCACGUCCGUUGUGAAAUCGCCCGGCUCAACUGGGCGGGGUCAGCGGAUACGGUCGAGCUUGAGCAAGCUAGGGGGCAAUGGAAUUCCCGGUGUAGUGGUGGAAUGCGUAGAUAUCGGGAGGAACACCAGUGGCGAAGGCGGUUGCCUGGGGCUUUGCUGACGCUGAUGCGCGAAAGCGUGGGGAGCGAUCCGG